UUAGCAAAGAAAUAAAGCAAAAAGUGAGGAGCAACUACUCCAUGGUUCUCGGCCAAAGUGGAGGAAAACCAACUCCAUUUUUAGCUUCUCAAAAAAAUAUUUCCUUGAUACAAACCCACUAUAUUGAAGUCCCUAAGUAGCGUGGAAGUAUUGUUUGGGUCAUCCAAUCAUUAGUUGUGCCUAUUUGCAAACCCUAGCCUAUUGGUGGAGGUGAAGAACAAAGACCUUGGGGAGCCCGAGGCGUAGAUUUGGACUAGCUUUAGAUUGGCUUGCUUGGAGUGCGUACGAGGUACAGACGCACAGUUUGGUGAUCCACCGGUUUAGGACACCCCCUUUUUGCUGUUGGAGUGCUCUUCUCCUUUCAGAGCAUAUCUUUUGGUAUAUAUUUUUGUUCGCCAUGUAUGUAUAUAUAUUCGUUCAGGGGUACGGCGGGACCCUGUCCCGCCAUAUGAUUCGUUUGGUCUGUUAGAGGUCUGUAGACGUAAUUGUGGGUGUGUGUGCCUACUUAUGUACAGUUAUGUUUAUAUGAUUCUACUCGUUAUGACAGCCUUGCCGGCUUUUUGAUAUAUAUAUAUAUAUAUAUAUACGUUCGCACAUGGUUGCGUUGAAAUGUGUCUGAUACAGUUUGAUAUGAUUUGAGACGGCAUAUAGUACUUAUGGCCGCAUAUGCUAUUUGGAUGUGAUCAGAUAUGGAUAGGUAUGUCAGGGUGCCCAAGUAGGGCACUAGUCACGGCCUACGGGGUUGGGUCGUGACAGAAUUAAUCAGAAACCUGCAGAACUUAUGCCUCUUAUAUAUAUAUAUAUAUAUAUAUAUAUAUAUAUAUAUAUAUAUAUAUAUAUAUAUAUAUAUAUAUUGUGAUUCCAUAAGAAAAUGGCGAAACAUCAAAAGGAGGAUGCUUAGUUAUAAUUGUUUCAACCUCCUCAUCAGCUUGAUAGCUGCAGACUUAUAUCAGGAUAGAUACGACCAAACAGUUCAAAAGUUCAAUUUAAAUCAUACAUCAGAGAGACAGAUUCAGAAUUUGAAGUUUAUGGGUUUCUACAACGAUCUCAAUUAGCAUACAAUAAUAAUUGAGUUCAUAUUCAUAUAUUUAUAGAUAUUCAGUGAACGUUUUAUUUUAUAUACAAUGUAUUGACAAAAAUACUGAGUUUUCGUCGACCUGCAAGUCCUACCGUACAUCCGCGACUGAUGUGUUGCACUUGCUAGGAUACUGAAUGUUGUAUAUAGCAGUAUAUCAUGACACUAUAUCUAGAUUUUUCUUCUGCAGAAGAGUUUUUUUU